GAUGAAGAACGUAGCGAAAUGCGUUAAGUAAUGUGAAUUGCAGAAUUCAGUGAAUCAUCGAAUCUUUGAACGCACAUUGCGCCCCCUGGUAUUCCGGGGGGCAUGCCUGUUCGAGCGUCAUUUCAACCCUCAAGCUCUGCUUGGUAUUGAGUCCAUGUCAGCAAUGGCAGGCUCCAAAAUCAGUGGCGGCGCCGCUGGGUCCUGAACGUAGUAAUAUCUCUCGUUACAGGUGCUCGGCGUGCUUCUGCCAAAACCCCAAUUUUUCUAUGGUUGACCUCGGAUCAGGUAGGGAUACCCGCUGAACUUAAGCAUAUCAAUAAGCGGAGGA
rnacentral:misc_RNA from 1 species